GCUUAAUACAGCUUUGGCGAGGUCGGAUGACGGGUGGGAGCCAGCGGUGGAAGGGGUGGCGAAAGUACCGGUUUGCCCCAGGCCGCCGAGGGGCCUCCUUAGAGAGACCUUGCCUGCUCCGCUCGCGUCCGCCGGGGCCGCGCGGGUCCUCCUGGCGCCGCCAGGUUCAAAAAGCCACUCGAGUUGUCACUGCGACGGCCCUGGGCCAGGAGCCGUUUCGGGAUCUGUCAAACAACGAGUUUUCGUCGUUCGAAUCAGGUUGACUGUGGUCCUUCAUCCCCCCAAUUUCCCGUACCUGGCGAGUCCAGCUCGUCGCGGAUACCAUUAACCCUGGAUAAAGAGAAUGGAGGUUACCUCUGUCCGUGUAGAUUCCUAAGCUGUCCUGGAGUGAUCCUUGGAGUAAAGGAAAGGUGCUUUGAAGCACAUUUAGCCAUCAG
rnacentral:lncRNA from 1 species